rnacentral:rRNA from 1 species
ACCGUGAGGAGGCACAAUAUGCGCUUCAAGAUUAAGCUCWUGUCCMUGUUUCUWAGUAUAAGCAAUCUAUACUGUGAAACUGCGAAUGGCUCAUUAAAUCAGUUAUCGUUUAUUUGAUAGUACCUUACUACUUGGAUAACCGUGGUAAUUCUAGAGCUAAUACAUGCUAAAAACCCCGACUUCGGAAGGGGUGUAUUUAUUAGAUAAAAAACCAAUGCCCUUCGGGGCUCCUUGGUGAUUCAUGAUAACUUAACGAAUCGCAUGGCCUUGCGCCGGCGAUGGUUCAUUCAAAUUUCUGCCCUAUCAACUUUCGAUGGUAGGAUAGUGGCCUACCAUGGUAUCAACGGGUAACGGGGAAUUAGGGUUCUAUUCCGGAGAGGGAGCCUGAGAAACGGCUACCACAUCCAAGGAAGGCAGCAGGCGCGCAAAUUACCCAAUCCCGACACGGGGAGGUAGUGACAAUAAAUACUGAUACAGGGCUCUUUUGGGUCUUGUAAUUGGAAUGAGUACAAUUUAAAUACCUUAACGAGGAACAAUUGGAGGGCAAGUCUGGUGCCAGCAGCCGCGGUAAUUCCAGCUCCAAUAGCGUAUAUUAAAGUUGUUGCAGUUAAAAAGCUCGUAGUUGAACCUUGGGCCUGGCUGGCCGGUCCGCCUCACCGCGUGUACUGGUCCGGCCGGGCCUUUCCUUCUGGGGAUCCUCAUGCCCUUCACUGGGUGUGCUGGGGAACCAGGACUUUUACUUUGAAAAAAUUAGAGUGUUCAAAGCAGGCCUUUGCUCGAAUACAUUAGCAUGGAAUAAUAGAAUAGGACGUGCGGUCCUAUUUUGUUGGUUUCUAGGACCGCCGUAAUGAUUAAUAGGGAUAGUCGGGGGCAUCAGUAUUCAAUUGUCAGAGGUGAAAUUCUUGGAUUUAUUGAAGACUAACUACUGCGAAAGCAUUUGCCAAGGAUGUUUUCAUUAAUCAGUGAACGAAAGUUAGGGGAUCGAAGACGAUCAGAUACCGUCGUAGUCUUAACCGUAAACUAUGCCGACUAGGGAUCGGGCGAUGUUAUUCUUUUGACUCGCUCGGCACCUUACGAGAAAUCAAAGUCUUUGGGUCUGGGGGGAGUAUGGUCCCCCGCAAGGCUGAAACUCAGAGAUGUGUGCGGACGCGAGGG